rnacentral:rRNA from 1 species
UACAGAGGGGGCAAGCGUUAUUCGGAUUUACUGGGCGUAAAGGGCGCGUAGGCGGCGCGGUAAGUCACUUGUGAAAUCUCUGAGCUUAACUCAGAACGGCCAAGUGAUACUGCAGUGCUAGAGUGUGGAAGGGGCAAUCGGAAUUCUUGGUGUAGCGGUGAAAUGCGUAGAUAUCAAGAGGAACACCUGAGGUGAAGACGGGUUGCUGGGCCAACACUGACGCUGAUGCGCGAAAGCCAGGGGAGCAAACGGG